rnacentral:rRNA from 1 species
GACGAACGCUGGCGGCGUGCCUAAUACAUGCAAGUCGAACGAGAGCGACCGGUGCUUGCACUGGUCAAUCUAGUGGCGAACGGGUGAGUAACACGUGGGUAACCUGCCCAUCAGAGGGGGAUAACAUCCGGAAACGGAUGCUAAAACCGCAUAGGUCUUCGAACCGCAUGGUUUGAAGAGGAAAAGAGGCGCAAGCUUCUGCUGAUGGAUGGACCCGCGGUGCAUUAGCUAGUUGGUGAGGUAACGGCUCACCAAGGCCGUGAUGCAUAGCCGACCUGAGAGGGUGAUCGGCCACAUUGGGACUGAGACACGGCCCAAACUCCUACGGGAGGCAGCAGUAGGGAAUCUUCCGCAAUGGACGAAAGUCUGACGGAGCAACGCCGCGUGAGUGAAGAAGGUUUUCGGAUCGUAAAACUCUGUUGUUAGAGAAGAACAAGUGCUAGAGUAACUGUUAGCGCCUUGACGGUAUCUAACCAGAAAGCCACGGCUAACUACGUG